CGCUGGCGGCAUGCCUUACACAUGCAAGUCGAACGGCAGCACGGAGCUUGCUCUGGUGGCGAGUGGCGAACGGGUGAGUAAUAUAUCGGAACGUACCCAGGAGUGGGGGAUAACGUAGCGAAAGUUACGCUAAUACCGCAUACGACCUAAGGGUGAAAGUGGGGGAUCGCAAGACCUCAUGCUCAUGGAGCGGCCGAUAUCUGAUUAGCUAGUUGGUGGGGUAAAGGCCUACCAAGGCAACGAUCAGUAGCUGGUCUGAGAGGACGACCAGCCACACUGGAACUGAGACACGGUCCAGACUCCUACGGGAGGCAGCAGUGGGGAAUUUUGGACAAUGGGGGCAACCCUGAUCCAGCAAUGCCGCGUGAGUGAAGAAGGCCUUCGGGUUGUAAAGCUCUUUUGUCAGGGAAGAAAAGGUCGCAGCUAAUAUCUGUGGCUCAUGACGGUACCUGAAGAAUAAGCACCGGCU
rnacentral:rRNA from 1 species